rnacentral:rRNA from 1 species
UGGGGAAUAUUGCACAAUGGAGGGAACUCUGAUGCAGCGACGCCGCGUGAACGAAGAAGGCUUUCGAGUCGUAAAGUUCUUUUAUAUCGGAAGAUAAUGACGGUACCAUAAGAAAAAGCCCCGGCUAACUACGUGCCAGCAGCCGCGGUAAUACGUAGGGGGCUAGCGUUGUCCGGAAUCACUGGGCGUAAAGGGUUCGCAGGCGGAAAUGCAAGUCAGGUGUAAAAGGCAGUAGCUUAACUACUGUAAGCAUUUGAAACUGCAUAUCUUGAGAAGAGUAGAGGUAAGUGGAAUUUUUAGUGUAGCGGUGAAAUGCGCAGAUAUCGGGAGGAACACCGACGGCGAAGGCAGCCCUCUGGGCCUUCUCUGACGCUGAGGCGCGAAAGCUGGGGGAGCGAACAGG